UACGUAGGGUGCGAGCGUUGUCCGGAAUUAUUGGGCGUAAAGGGCUCGUAGGCGGUUUGUCGCGUCGGGAGUGAAAACACCGGGCUUAACUCGGUGCUUGCUUUCGAUACGGGCAGACUAGAGGUAUUCAGGGGAGAGCGGAAUUCCUGGUGUAGCGGUGAAAUGCGCAGAUAUCAGGAGGAACACCGGUGGCGAAGGCGGUUCUCUGGGAAUAUCCUGACGCUGAGGAGCGAAAGUGUGGGGAGCGAACAGG
rnacentral:rRNA from 1 species